UGCCUUGAAGAUCGGAGUGCUUGCACUCUGUGAAACAAGAUACAGGCUAGCGGCGGACGGGUGAGUAACACGUGGGUAACCUGCCCAAGAGAUCGGGAUAACACCUGGAAACAGAUGCUAAUACCGGAUAACAACAGAUGAUGCCUAUCAACUGUUUAAAAGAUGGUUCUGCUAUCACUCUUGGAUGGACCUGCGGUGCAUUAGCUAGUUGGUAGGGUAACGGCCUACCAAGGCGAUGAUGCAUAGCCGAGUUGAGAGACUGAUCGGCCACAUUGGGACUGAGACACGGCCCAAACUCCUACGGGAGGCAGCAGUAGGGAAUCUUCCACAAUGGACGCAAGUCUGAUGGAGCAACGCCGCGUGAGUGAAGAAGGGUUUCGGCUCGUAAAGCUCUGUUGUUGGUGAAGAAGGACAGGGGUAGUAACUGACCUCUGUUUGACGGUAAU
rnacentral:rRNA from 1 species